UACAGAGGUGGCAAGCGUUGUUCGGAAUUACUGGGCGUAAAGGGCGCGUAGGCGGUUUCGUAAGUCCCGUGUGAAAGCCCCCGGCUCAACUGGGGAACUGCACGGGAAACUGCGAGGCUUGAGUUCGGGAGAGGGAAGCGGAAUUCCGGGUGUAGCGGUGAAAUGCGUAGAUAUCCGGAGGAACACCGGUGGCGAAGGCGGCUUCCUGGACCGACACUGACGCUGAGGCGCGAAAGCGUGGGGAGCAAACAGG
rnacentral:rRNA from 1 species